UACGUAGGGUGCGAGCGUUGUCCGGAAUUACUGGGCGUAAAGAGCUCGUAGGUGGUUUGUCGCGUCGUCUGUGAAAUUCCGGGGCUUAACUCCGGGCGUGCAGGCGAUACGGGCAUAACUUGAGUGCUGUAGGGGAGACUGGAAUUCCUGGUGUAGCGGUGAAAUGCGCAGAUAUCAGGAGGAACACCGAUGGCGAAGGCAGGUCUCUGGGCAGUAACUGACGCUGAGGAGCGAAAGCAUGGGUAGCGAACAGGAUUAGAUACCCUAGUAGU
rnacentral:rRNA from 1 species